rnacentral:misc_RNA from 1 species
GAUGAAGAACGUAGCGAAAUGCGAUACUUGGUGUGAAUUGCAGAAUCCCGUGAACCAUCGAGUCUUUGAACGCAAGUUGCGCCCGAAGCCAUUAGGCCGAGGGCACGCCUGCCUGGGCGUCACACGUCGUUGCCCCCCCAUCUACUCCUUCGGGAUUGCGGGGGGCGGAUGAUGGCCUCCCGUGCGCCUCGUCGCGCGGUUGGCAUAAAUACCAAGUCCUCGGCGACGCACGCCACGACAAUCGGUGGUUGCGAAACCUCGGUUGCCCGUCGUGUGCGGUCGUCGCGCAUCGAGGGCUCGAAAAAAUUGCCGGGCUCCGGCUCGGCUUUCAACGCGACCCCAGGUCAGGCGGGGUUACCCGCUGAAUUUAAGCAUAUCAAUAAGCGGGGA